AAUAGAUGACGUCGUUGACUUUUUCUCACAUGUUUGACCAUUCGUCUUAUUCAAAAUAUUUACGUAAUAAUAAUUUAUUUUGUUAUAAGUUGUUUUAUCACUUAUAGUACUUUAAGUGUGAUUUAUAUCUUAUACAUUUAUAUAAAUUUUUUAAAUAAGACAAAUGGUCAAAUAUGUGAGAAAAAAUCAACGGCGUCGUCUAUU
rnacentral:pre_miRNA from 1 species